rnacentral:tRNA from 1 species
GGCCACGUGGCCGAGUGGUUAGGCAAGGGUCUGCAAAACCCUUUACAGCGGUUCAAUUCCGCUCGUGGCCU